rnacentral:lncRNA from 1 species
AGCAUCCCACAGGCAGCAGGACAGCAGCCCUCCUGCUCCAAAGAAGCAGAACCUGACAGCAACUUGCACCUCCAGCCAAAAUGGACAAUAAAUAGACAAGAAAUAGAUAAGAGCACACUAAGCUCCGCCUCCACCCUGAAAGCUCCCAGCUUUCAGGUGCUUGUUCAUCUAACCCUCACCACAGCCCACAGAUUUAGAGCCAGAUAUUGAGUUUGUGGGGCUUCAUGCGAAAUGAAAAUAUGAGGCCCUUGUUCAAAAAGCAGAGGAAAUGUAUAAUUAGAUGUAGUCAAAUAUAUCUUUUUUCAUUCUCCUUGGGUGGUUUUCUCAUUCUCCAGUUCACUGGCUCCCUCUGGUUUUGUCACCUUUUUGGCCUUUCAUCCAUCGUGUUUUUAUCUGCUACUUAAUGUUGCACUUGACAGGCCAUGCCCUGAGAUUUCAGUGACAACAGGCCCCUGGCCACCAGGUUCCCAUCCCCCAGCCCCCAGGUGGACAUACCUGCCCAAGAGUGGAGAAGGUCGGCCAGGUGUCUUCCCCUGCUUUUUGUGAAUGGUGAAGCCCAGAAGAGGGCAACCUCUGUGCAAGGAUUCACUCAACCCCAGGAUGGCCAGGGUGCCUCAGGGCGCACUGCCCAGCUCUGACCUCCCCACACCUGUGCCCAGGGCUGGACACACUUGUACACAGAGGUCAUCAGCAGUCCCUGGGUGUGAGGCAAAGAGGGAGAGGCUGGGAAGGGCCAUGGGCACCUAUAGAUGGGGGAGUAGGCGGUAGAGAACAGGGGGGCAGCAGGAGGCAGGAUUGAGUGUGAUCCAAGGAUCCAAGCCUCCCCCGCUCAUGACCAACUGUCCUAUCAGACCUCUCUCACAAAAUACAAAUUUAAGAUUUUAAAUAAUUAAAGAUAUAUUAGUUAGUAAGAAUUUCAAGAUGGUGACUGUAGAGCAUCAAACCCCUGAGCCCAGGCCCUCUUAGGCACAAAACCAUAUACAGUUGCAGUAUAUGGUUUUGUGCAUAAGAGGUCAUGUGCAGUGGUCAUGUGCCCCUGAAGCUGACUCUGGGUAGAUAUUACCACCGUCCUCAUUUCACACAUGGGGGAACUCAGUCCCUUUAAUUUUCCCAGAAUCAUGAUUCUGGGAAGCUGGGGUUGGGCGGAGGACACUAAGACUUACACUCAGUCAUGUGGCUGCAGAGCCUCAUUCUUUACCACUUCCCUGUGCUGUCCCUUAUUCCAUCAAAUCCGGCUGCCUCUACCCAGGGAAUCAGCACAACAUCUGGUGGUCUUGUGGAACAGGCAAAAGAGAGCACACCCGCCUACACCAUUUUGCUGACUCAGCCACCCACUGGCUGCAUAGCAAUAGGCAGUCCCUUAGCCUCUAUGAGCCUAACCUACCACAUGUGGGCACUGCGAAAAAAAAUAGAGUCAAAAAGUCCAUUUAUCUAGAAGUACAAGUGUCACCUAAAAUAUCAAAGAUGAGUAGGAGAACCUGACCAGGUCCAUCUUCUCCUUUCUCAGGCUUUUCCCUACCUCUCUCUAGGCAACAGACUCUGACCUUGAAUGUCCAGAGAGGACAGUGUACAUGCUUUGUGAUGGAACUGUUCUGUGGCCACACAGCAAGAAAGGGAUAAGGUUGGACCAAUUCAACACUCUGGCCUAGGAGGGCUGUAAUAUUUUCUGAGUCUGAGUACAAAGACUUUGAUCUUAGCAUCUAAAUCCAAUGUGUUUUUUCUCUCUAUUUAGUCCAAUGGGCUAGUUCUCACCAUUAGUGAUCCAAAAGGAAUCUCAGCCCAGCAUUGAACAGAUGUCUGCUGAAUGAAGGCCACUGGAGGAAAAGUCUGAAUGAUGUUUUUCCUCAGACGCAUUAAUCAGACUGACCCAUUAGUAAGUUCUGUCUCAAGGGACCCCAAAUCUGUAGCAUGAGGAGACAAAGCCUUGGUGACCUUCAAACUUUGAGUCUCUUCUACUUGACUUUAGUGACUUGUGCUUCCUCAGACAAGAUCAGGGCAUUUCCUUUGGUCUCAUUGAAAGAAGCUGCUACUUUGGCAGGACUGUCUGAAAGAUCUGAACAGUCAAGGACUUUGGGCUCGAAUACAGUAACUCAGUCUAUGUUAGGGUCUGCUGCCAUACAUGAUGCCCAAGAGUCUCCAUUGUUCUUGGAUUCUGGGCCUGUUUCAGGAGUGCCAGUUCACUGCCCAGAGCAAAUCAAACACAUCCAGAAAUUCCCCAGAACCUCAGCUCUAAACUUCAGCAAAGAACAUUUCAUGAACUAUCCAAAGGCUGCAGAUGAGCCAUCUGACAGUCAGAGACUGUUGGGAACAUGAAACAGGUUAGUACAUGUCAAAUACUCAGCACAGAGUCUGGUACACAGUAAGUGUUCAACUGAAAUGCCAGCCUCUGAUGAGGAUGUAAUCUCUCCUGGGGAGGGUUAGUGAGCAGAGUGACAUGUCACUCCUUCUGGAGGGGUACAGGAUAUUUGCCCUAAGAGGGACAGGAUGAGGGCACUAGACACUCUGAUGAAGGAAGGAGGAAGGUGGGAAAAGGAGUUUGAUGCAAGCAGGGGAGCGUGGAUCAGGAAGCUGAAAACUCCUUUUACCAGUAGGCAUGGCUUUUCCAUGGUCUGACUCUGGACACCCCAAGGACAGAGCUAGUGUGAGGUUUCUGGUGUGAUGUGAAAACAUCUACCCUCAGAUUGACUUCCGCUGCUUCCACCUCCCCCAGAGACUUAAAGCAUGUAACUGUAAUGGGGCAUGUAAGUUGGUCUUUCCUGGAGAAACAUGGGUCCUUACAAGAGAUCAGAAGACACAAAAACACACUCAGGGUCUUUCAAAGAAUUCUCCUCUCAACUUUUUGCUUCUGGAGGCCAAACAUCUUAUACUUCCUUUUUGUCAUACACAGACACUUGAGUGCUUUCUCCAGAGCAAAAAUGGUUGACACUCUCCGGUGAUGGAUUCAAACAUUUUGACUGAACUCAUUCAAAUUUCCAUCAGUUUAGUCAAUUGAUGUCAUAUCAAAUAUCUGUCAGCACAACCAGCCAAGUUGAUUAGACACCUGGUCUUUUUAGUUAGCUCAACUUGUUAUUUCUAAAAACAAAAAUAAAAAAUCAAGAUCAAAAUAACCUAUCAAUUUGGUUAGCAAGUGACUAAUAACUGCCAUCAAAAAAAGUAUAUUUUUUCAAACCACUUUGGUUUUUUUUCACUGAAUCUACUAAAUCAAUCAGUUGUGUGCGGGAAGUGGGGGUGGCAUUGAAGAGAUGUGUCAGCUUGCUGGACAAGCAGGGAGGAGAAUAUUAGAAAUAAAAUCAUCAAAAAGAUGCCAUCAGAAUGGCCACAAUUCCACCCUCAAUCAUCUGCAGUAACAAUGAGAAAUGAGAUCCUGCAAGAUGUAGAGAUCACUCCUAAUCACAAUAAUUUUGUGCGUUGAAGAGCAUUUUUCUAUUCUUCCUAGAAAUUCCCAUGUUCCCAUGUUCCCAUGUUCAUGUUUGAUUCCUAUGUUCAUGUCCAUAAUUGAUAAGCAAAUGGUGUGAGAGUGUCCUGGAUUGCCUUUCAACAACAAACACACCAAUGGCAAGUUCAUUGGAAACUGAAAGUUGAGUGCAUUUACAGGGGCCCUUUGAAUGCUAUAUUAUAUGAAUUAAUUCUGAAAAAUGUAGUUCCAACCCACGUCCAGAGGAAUAUGAUAAAUUCAAUGUUAGACACAAUUUUAGACCCAAGCUAAAGAGUUAAAAUUGGGGUCUUUGUUAGAAAUGAAACCAGGAAAGCUGGCUUUCAGCACUCUGUUCUUGUCCCCUUCACUCUUCUCCCACACUCCCCAGCAGCUACCUCCCUCCCUCCCUAGACAUCCCCUCUCAGGACGACAGAGCCUCAAACUGCCCUAGUGGUCUCCCUGCAGAAGGAACCAUUUAAUAGACCAAGUCACACUGAGAGAUCUAUGACUCUCUGUGCUCUUUCCAGGCUCCCUGUUUUGGGACAGAACUUACCUGAAGAAAUCUGUGUUUAGCUCAAAGGAGUGAAUCACUGAUGACACACAGUUGUCGUCCCAUCCCUCCAUAUUCGUGGGGGCAGGAGGGGUGGGUGGCUCUUGGACCCAAGUGGAUGCCAAAAUCUGUGAUGCUCAAGCCCUCACAUAAAAUAGCAUAGAAGAGCCAACCCUCUGUAUCCGCAGAUGCAGAACCCACAGAUAUGGAAGCUGACUGUAAUUUCAGAUACCAGGUGUCAGCAGACUGGUUUUAACAAAGCCAGGUCUUGUGAAGAGCUAUCUUGCUUAGGGAAUCGGAAAAUUUCUUAUCUCUUAGAAAUAUUCAUUCAGAAAUUAAAUGGCCCACUUUUGUCCAAUUCAAAUUUUCCUCUGGUCUGAUUUUUCUCCCAGUCACUGACAUUCUACAAUGGGAAUAAGCUGAUUAUUUAUUGCUAGUCACUCACCACCUACAAUUCACUUUUCCAAUUUUCCUGUGUUGCCUAUCAGUGCCACUUUGUCAAUCCCUGCAGUUUAUUGACUGUGUUCUGAUGGCUAGGGUAAACAAAUUACUUCAAGAAUGACUGUGGCGCAAAAAGGGCCCCUGCUGGGUUCUAAAUGAUGGACUGAUACGUGAUCCAAUUGAUCCUAAUGUCAGGAGGCAAUUCACCAUCACAAGGGGACAGGUUGCCCUAACCCAUCUUAUCAAGGACAUAGUUUUGUGUGGUACAUAAUAUUUUCCUUUUUUUAAAUUCUAAGUAUUGGACAUUAUCUAGAUCAAAUGAUUUUGCAGAUCAAAUAUUUCAAAUUUUCAAGUCUACUCCUUUAAAAUACACUGUGCAUAUACUGCACAGUAACAGUACCACAUUAUAAAGGCAUUCAAAGCAUCAAUAACGAAGAAGUUCACAUUCCUACAUUAGGUCAGAAUUCAUGUACUGGAUAUUGGGCAGGUCCCCGUAAUGUCUGGACCCAAGUUUAUGCCCAGCUCAGUGGUCUCCAAAUUUCUUUACUGUGCAAUUCUACCAGAAAAACCCUUUUGAGCAUGCACCCAGGUGUUCAUUUAAUUAUAAUUUGUAUUCGUGUAUGUACCUCGGUCAAUAUGUCAAGGCACAAUACACGCUUAAGUGAAGGUCAUCUUUAAAAACAGUAAAUGUAAAUCCUUUUUAGUAGACUUCAUAAUUUUGACCUUUUUUUGGCCUAAUAGUAUACAUGGCUAAUUAGGAUGUCAUUGCCAUUACUUCCUAAUGGGGCUGGUGACGAGUUUAUGAUCAAAGCUGAGGAAGCAAUAUCCCCACCACUUUCUUGUGACUUAUUUGGGCCUAUAUUAAACUAUAAUCUGAAGUUUUUUUGCAGGAGUCUUAAUAAUCCACUUGUCCACUUGAAGAUAAUAAUAAAAUUAAUAAUAAUAAUUAAAAUAAUAAAGUAACUUAAAAUAAUAAAAUAAUUAUUAUUACAAAAUAAUAAUUAAAAUAAUAAUAACAAUUAAAAGCACUUACCCAGGAAGUCUGAACUCAAGAGCCUGCAUAGGUGACCUUGAAAUGCUGACCUUCACACAUGGUACACAAUAUCCGUAUGUGGUGACUUGAAAAAUGAUCGGAGCCAGGACUCCUUAACUUAAACUCAUUUUAAUUUUUAGAUAAAAAUGUACGUAGAAGUCUACACACCCCAAUGGACAGUCUUAUGUACCCCUCAGGAUGAACAACCCACCUUGGGGAUCACUGGCUCCAAUUCCCUAAAAUUGAGCCUUUUUUGGAGAGGAAGGUGGAGAAGCCCACAGAAACCAAAUCAGACUUAAUAUCCGGCCCAGGAGUUUUGACAACCUGGGGGCACCAGGAAGCAUUAAAGGGUUUUAAAGAAGAGGUGAUAUGGCCUGAUCUGCAUUCUUACAAGAUUAUUCUAGAUGCACCUGGAAGAAGGGGUUAGGGAGCAUGCACAGUUAUCAGGAGUUAGUUUGUUUUUUUUUUAAGCUGUUGUAUAAAUGGAUUUCUUUUUUUUAUUAGAGUUGAUUUACAAUAUUGCGCCAAUUUCUGCUGAACAGCAAAGUGACCCAGUCAUAUAUAUAUACAUAUAUAUACUUUUUUUUUCUCAUGUUAUCUUCCAUCAUGUUCUAUCCAAAGAGAUUGGAUAGUGUUCCCUGUGCUAUACAGUAGGACUUCAUUGCUUAUCCAUCCUAAGUGUAGCAGCUUUGUAAAUGGAGAGAAGUGUACAGAUUCACAAGAGAGUCAAGAUUUCUAGCAUCCAUGAGGACACAGGUUCAAUCCCUGGCUUCACUCAGUGGGUCAAGGAUCCGGCGUUCCCUUGAACUGUGGUGUAGGUCACAGAUGUGACCCAAAUCCUGAGUUGCUGUUGCAGCUAUAGCUCCGAUCUGACCCCUAGCCUGGGAACCUCCAUAUACCACAGGUGCGG